rnacentral:piRNA from 1 species
UGUUUGCCUUGUAAUUUUAAA